AGGGACAUGCCUUCAGCGAGUGCUGCUCUCAAAAAUACAGCUUCAUGAUAUAGGUUCAUCCGACAAUGAUUGAAGUACUUGGUCAAUCACUCUGUAAAAUUUGUUAUAAUUACCUGAAACGAAUCACGUUCAAACCUUUCUAGCUUAGUACUAAUUUGUUGAUAUGCUCAUGAUAAUAGACGCUAUCAACUAUGUGCCAAUUUUGCUUUGAUCUUACCCAACAACGGUUUAUAAUUCAUCCGCAAGUUUCCUAAAUCAGAUGCCAAUUGUGAUAGAACAUUCAUGCAGAUGACAUAGAGGUAGAGAGACAGAGCAUAACCUUGUCUUAAACCUCUUUUGCUUUAAAAGUAUGCCGCAAGCUUAUCAAGUUAUCAUUAACUUGAACCGAGAAAGAUGGCACAUAUUUUUAUGGGAAGUUUACUCAAAUAUACAAUAUUUUAGGACAAUGGACUAGAACCAUACAGAUCUUUUUUUUAUUACUGGCAUUUUUUAAAUACCAAACGUGCCCUUUUUUUACGUUAUGAGAAAAAACGUAUUUACAAAAAUGUCAUUACUUUUUAAUGCCACGUAAUAAAAAACCCGGCGCCACGUAGGAAUUCGGUUCUGUGUUUUCAUUAAGUCGGCCGUAAAGAGCUAUAUACGUCGUUACGGCUGAGUUAUUGCUACGUUGCGGCUGAAUUAAAAAACGCGGCUGACUUAAGAGAAAAAGGCUGACUUAAGAACAUAAAUCAGCUGUUAGUUACAGCUGAUUACAGAAAUCUGGUAGAUUUAUGGGAUAACAGCUGACUUACGUACACAAGUUACGGCUGACUUAUACAUCGGCGGUUUGAUUUCUGUAAAAUUUGGCUGAGUUGUAGUUAAGACACGGCUGAGUUAUGUUUCCACGGCUGAGUUAAUGAACAUCGACUGGCUGAGUUAUUGAAUUUACGGCCGACUUAUGAGAUGUUGAUACGGCUGAGUUAUAUUUAAUCAGCCGUCAUUGGAUGGAUUAAUAGUAAACUCAGCUUAUUUACGGCUGACUUAUUAGCGAAAGAUUAAUUACUAGAAUAUCAUUUGUUUUACGGCUGAUUUAUUUGACGAUAUGGCUGACUUAAGAUUUUUCAUCCUAAUUACAGCUGAUUUAUU
rnacentral:lncRNA from 1 species